UACGUAGGGUGCAAGCGUUGUCCGGAAUCACUGGGCUUAAAGGGCGCGUAGGCGGGCUGUCGCGUCUGGGGUGAAAUCCUCCGGCUCAACCGGGGAAGGGCCUCGGGUACGGACGGCCUCGAGGGGGGUAGGGGCGUGCGGAACUGUGGGUGGAGCGGUGAAAUGCGUUGAUAUCCACAGGAACUCCGGUGGCGAAGGCGGCACGCUGGACCCUCACUGACGCUGAGGCGCGAAAGCCAGGGGAGCGAACGGG
rnacentral:rRNA from 1 species